AUUGAACGCUGGCGGCAUGCCUUACACAUGCAAGUCGAACGGCAGCGCGGGAGCAAUCCUGGCGGCGAGUGGCGAACGGGUGAGUAAUAUAUCGGAACGUGCCCAGUAGUGGGGGAUAGCCCGGCGAAAGCCGGAUUAAUACCGCAUGAGACCUGAGGGUGAAAGCGGGGGAUCGCAAGACCUCGCGCUACUGGAGCGGCCGAUAUCAGAUUAGCUAGUUGGUGGGGUAAAGGCCUACCAAGGCAACGAUCUGUAGUUGGUCUGAGAGGACGACCAGCCACACUGGGACUGAGACACGGCCCAGACUCCUACGGGAGGCAGCAGUGGGGAAUUUUGGACAAUGGGCGCAAGCCUGAUCUAGCAAUGCCGCGUGCAGGAAGAAGGCCUUCGGUUGU
rnacentral:rRNA from 1 species